rnacentral:rRNA from 1 species
CCUACGGGUGGCAGCAGUGGGGAAUAUUGGGCAAUGGGCGCAAGCCUGACCCAGCAACGCCGCGUGAAGGAAGAAGGCCUUCGGGUUGUAAACUUCUUUUGUUAGGGACGAAGAAAGUGACGGUACCUGACGAAUAAGCCACGGCUAACUACGUGCCAGCAGCCGCGGUAAUACGUAGGUGGCAAGCGUUAUCCGGAUUUACUGGGUGUAAAGGGCGUGUAGGCGGGAGAGCAAGUCAGACGUGAAAUGACAGGGCUCAACAAUGGAACUGCGUUUGAAACUGUUCUUCUUGAGUGAUGGAGAGGCAGGCGGAAUUCCGGGUGUAGCGGUGAAAUGCGUAGAUAUACGGAGGAACACCAAUGGCGAAGGCGGCCUGCUGGACAUUAACUGACGCUGAGGCGCGAAAGCGUGGGGAGCAAACAGGAUUAGAUACCCUGGUAGUC